rnacentral:rRNA from 1 species
CUACGGGGGGCUGCAGUGGGGAAUAUUGGACAAUGGGGGAAACCCUGAUCCAGCAAUGCCGCGUGUGUGAAGAAGGCCUGCGGGUUGUAAAGCACUUUCGGUUGGGAGGACUGCUUCUAGCACUAAUAUUGUUGGAAGUUGACGUUACCUUCAGAAGAAGCACCGGCUAACUCCGUGCCAGCAGCCGCGGUAAUAAGGAGGGUGCAGGCGUUAAUCGGAAUUCCUGGGCGUAAAGCGCGCGUAGGCGGCUAGAUCAGUCGGGUGUGAAAGCCCCGGGCUUAACCUGGGAACUGCAUCCGAUACUGUCUAGCUUGAGUACAGGAGGGGAGAGUGGAAUUCCACAUGUAGCGGUGAAAUGCGUAGAUAUGUGGAGGAACACCAAUGGCGAAGGCAGCUCUCUGGCCUGAUACUGACGCUGAGGUGCGAAAGCGUGGGGAGCAAACAGGAUUAGAUACCCUCGUAGUC